rnacentral:rRNA from 1 species
GUGCCAGCAGUUGCGGUUAAACUGGACUUAAAAAUUAAUUGUUUAAAAUGGUUUAUAAAAUAGUUGUUUAUAAUUUUAUUUUUAAAUGAUUAAUAAUGUAAUGUGAAAUUUAAUUUUAUUAGUUUUUUAAAAUUAAUAUUUUAUAUAUGAUUUUAAUAAGUUUGUUUUAAUAAACUAGGAUUAGAUACCCUAUUAUUUUUAUGAAAAUAAAGGAAAAUCAAUAAGUAAAUGUUAAAUCAUUAAAUUGAGGAGAUUUGGCGGUUAUAUAAGACCUUAGGGGAACUUGUGUAUUUAUUUGAUAGUCCACGUUAAUAUGAACUAAUUUAUAAUCUUAUUUUUAAUAAGAUUAUUCUUUUGUAUUGCUGUUUAUAGGCCUUGAAUUAUUUUGGGUAAGCUAGUAUAUAUUUAAAUUAUAUAUAUAUAUAUAUAUAUAAUUUAAAUUUAGAAAUCCAAGUCAAAAUAGAGUAUAUAUUAGAUUUAUAUGAGUUACAUUAAUAAUAAUUUUUUUGAAUUAAUUAAUUUAAUAUUAAUUAAUAAAUUGGAUUUAAUAGUAAAUUUAAUUAAAUAUAUUAAAUUGAAAAUAGAUUAUAUAGUGUACAAAUCGCCCGUCAGUUUCAUUAAAGAUGGAAUAAGUCGUAACAUAGUUUAGGAUACUGGAAAGUGUUUUAUG